CCUACGGGGGACAGCAGUGGGGGAUAUUGCACAAUGGGGGAAACCCUGAUGCAGCGACGCCGCGUGAGUGAAGAAGUAUUUCGGUAUGUAAAGCUCUAUCAGCAGGGAAGAAAAUGACAGUACCUGACCAAGAAGCCCCGGCUAACUACGUGCCAGCAGCCGCGGUAAUACGUAGGGGGCAAGCGUUAUCCGGAUUUACUGGGUGUAAAGGGAGCGUAGACGGUUAUGUAAGUCUGGAGUGAAAGCCCGGGGCCCAACCCCGGGACUGCUUUGGAAACUGUGUAACUGGAGUACAGGAGGGGCAGGCGGAAUUCCUGGUGUAGCGGUGAAAUGCGUAGAUAUCAGGAGGAAUACUCAUUGCGAAGGCGACCUGCUAGAACAUAACUGACGCUGAUGCGCGAAAGCGUGGGGAGCAAACAGGAUUAGAUACCCGGGUAGUC
rnacentral:rRNA from 1 species